UGCCCUCUCGGCCCGCCGUCCGCACCCGCAUGUUCCCCACCCGCGCCGCCGUCCGUCUUCUCUGCGCCUCCAAACACCGAAACACGAUCUGCAGCCCCGCUCCGUCCAUCCCCACCUGCGCCGCCGGUGCCUACGCUUGUCGCCGUCGUCGUCCCUCCCUAGGCUGCACCUCCCUUCGUCAUCAAAGACACCUCGGCCACGGCCAGCCGACGCUGUCCCUGUCGCCUCGUGCGGAUUGAGGAGGACAAGGAGAAUAAGAGAUACCGAGGGCGGCGAGGAAGGAAGAGGAGAUGCCGCGGGUGGCGGGGAAAGAGGAAGAGGUGCCGGGAGUGGUGGGGAAGGAGGAGAAGAUGCAGGAGCCGAUUGCCCGUUCUCAGGAUUCGAAUAGAUAAAGGAAUCACACCUGCUCCAGACUAAAACCAGUAUCAAACAGGAUUUGACACUACUGUUUUUUCAAGGUUAAUGAUUGGCUAGAGAGACUGGUUGAUGAGAAAGGUGAAGACUUGUACAGAUUACAGGGUGUUAUAUCUGUAAAUGAGUCAACUGGACGCUUUGUAUUCCAGGGUGUGCACUCCAUGCUGGAAGGAUGCCCAGCGAAACCAUGGGAGCCUGAUGAGAAGAGAAUCAACAAGUUUGUGUUUAUAGGUAGGAAUUUGGACGAAGCUGCACUAAGGAAAGCCUUCAAAGGUUGCCUGCUAUGAAUACUCUGGUCAUGUAUUCCUCCUUGGGAGAUUGAGGCUCGAACAACUAUGCCGCGGUUAAAUUAGGCACAGGAGCAAGUACAAGCCCCUUAUCUUUUUGGUGUGAUGGUGUCAUGUCUGCAUCGUGUUCACUGAGGAACUUAUAACUGUUGGCAGCAUCCUCACCUUGAUUAGAAGCACGCCUGUAUGCCAGUGAGCUAGCGUACUUUCAUAUGAUGAAAUCGAGCAAUUCAUAUCUGAAAUGCUGAAUGCAUGCUUCUUGCCA